UCAUGCGUGUACGUACGCAUACGUAUAAAAGUUUGAAGUUUAAAAUCGAGAAGCUGCAUAACCUGAAACGAUCAAACUGCUUAGAUAUUUACAGACUGGUAGCGAAUUUUGCAAUAGUCGUGGUACCCUUAACCUAAACCAUAUUUAACGUGUAAAAGGAGAGAGAACUAAAGAAUAGUUUAAUUUCUUUUAAGUGAACACCAAGUAAAGUUUAAUACGAAAUGAGUGCUUUUAUGUGGAUAUUCAUGACUGGGUUUCUGGGUGCUCAUGUCGGGUGGUAUUGGUUACAACAGAACUAUGUACCACCAGAACAACGACACAAUCAUCCUAUCGUACGAUAUUAUUUAUCACAUAUAAAACCUAAAAUAAAAGGUGACUGAAAUUUGUACAACUGUAAACCUGAUUUCUAUAUUACUUUCUUCAAAUGCGUGAAUGACAUGUAGUGUGCAAUAAAUACUAUAUGCAUACGAUGUGUAUUUAAAGGAAAGUAUAUUUAUUUGGUAGUAAUAAGUAUAAUUACAUUUGUUACAUGCAUACAUUUAGACUAGUCACUUAUGGCUUAAGGUAACAAAUAAAAUGGUGAGAUUAAUUUAUUUAUAAUAUAUGUGAUUUUAAAUAAUACAUAUUGAUACAACGUAAUCUGUCAAUUUGUUAUAUUGACAGAGAAAUAUUUAUACAAUUGAUCAGGGUUCCUGCUUCUUAAAUGUAGGCAGGUGAUCAAAAUCCUGCUGAUGCAUGGAGGAGCUUUUCGGCCGAUUUUCGUUUUGACUAUGUACUGAAGCACCAGCUUUAGGAAGUUGCGGUAACACCAUUUGACUGUAGUUAGUGUUCUAAAAUACAACGGGCACAUUACGAUUCUGUAGUGCCGUGAGUAGAAUCAGCAUGAUGGUCAAUAAAUACUUUAUGCUCA